rnacentral:tRNA from 1 species
GUAUAGUGGAUAGAACAUUGCGUUGUGGCCGCAAUAACCCAGGUUCCAAUCCUGG